UUUGCGGUGUGGGAUGGGCCCGCGGCCUAUCAGCUUGUUGGUGUGGUANUGGCCUACCAAGGCGACGACGGGUAGCCGGCCUGAGAGGGUGACCGGCCACCCUGGGACUGAGAUACNGNCCAGACUCCUACCGGAGGCAGCAGUGGGGAAUAUUGCACAAUGGGCGCAAGCCUGAUGCAGCGACGCCGCGUGAGGGAUGACGGCCUUUCGGGUUGUAAACCUCUUUCAAUAGGGACGAAGCGCAAGUGACGGUACCUAUAGAAGAAGCACCGGCCAACUACGUGCCAGCAGCCGCGGUAAUACGUAGGGUGCGAGCGUUGUCCGGAAUUACUGGGCGUAAAGAGCUCGUAGGUGGUUUGUCGCGUUGUUCGUGAAAACUCACAGCUUAACUGUGGGCGUGCGGGCGAUACGGGCAGACUAGAGUACUGCAGGGGAGACUGGAAUUCCUGGUGUAGCGGUGGAAUGCGCAGAUAUCAGGAGGAACACCGGUGGCGAAGGCGGGUCUCUGGGCAGUAACUGACGCUGAGGAGCGAAAGCGUGGGGAGCGAACAGGAUUAGAUACCCUGGUAGUCCACGCCGUAAACGGUGGGUACUAGGUGUGGGUUCCUUCCUUGGGAUCCGUGCCGUAGCUAACGCAUUAAGUACCCCGCCUGGGGAGUACGGCCGCAAGGCUAAAACUCAAAGGAAUUGACGGGGGCCCGCACAAGCGGCGGAGCAUGUGGAUUAAUUCGAUGCAACGCGAAGAACCUUACCUGGGUUUGACAUGCACAGGACGCCGGCAGAGAUGUCGGUUCCCUUGUGGCCUGUGUGCAGGUGGUGCAUGGCUGUCGUCAGCUCGUGUCGUGAGAUGUUGGGUUAAGUCCCGCAACGAGCGCAACCNCCUUGUCCUAUGUUGCCAGCGGGUUAUGCCGGGGAACUCUCGUAGGAGACUGCCGGGGUCAACUCGGGNAAGGAAGGUGGGGAUGACGUCAAGUCAUCAUGCCCCUUAAUGUGUCCAGGGCUUCACACAUGCUACAAUGGCCGGUACAAAGGGCUGCGAUGCCGUGAGGUGGAGCGAAUCCUUUCAAAGCCGGUCUCAGUUCGGAUCGGGGUCUGCAACUCGACCCCGUGAAGUCGGAGUCGCUAGUAAUCGCAGAUCAGCAACGCUGCGGUGAAUACGUUCCCGGGCCUUGUACACACCCCCCGUCACGUCAUGAAA
rnacentral:rRNA from 1 species